rnacentral:rRNA from 1 species
CCCUUAGAUGUUCUGGGCCGCACGCGCGCUACACUGUUCGACGCAGCGAGUCUUAACCUUGACCGAAAGGUUUGGGUAAUCUUCAGCAAAGUCGAACGUGAUGGGGAUCGAUCAUUGCAAUUAUUGAUCGUGAACGAGGAAUUCCUAGUAAGUGCAAGUCAUCAGCUUGCGCUGAUUACGUCCCUGCCCUUUGUACACGCCGCCCGUCGCUACUACCGAUUGAAUGGUUUAGUGAGAUCUCUGGAUUGACGCUGGCUAGGGGGCGACCCUUGGCCAGGCUGUCGAGAAACUGCUCAAACUUGAUCAUUUAGAGGAAGUAAAAGUCGUAACA